GAUGAACGCCGGCGGCGUGCUUAACACAUGCAAGUCGAACGAUGAAGCCCAGCUUGCGGGGGGGAUUAGUGGCGAACGGGGGAGUAACACGUGAGUAACCUGCGCUUGAGUCUGUGAUAAGCCUGGGAAACAGGGGCGAAUACAGGAGAUGACUGCUCAUCGCAUGGGGGGGGGGGGGAAGAUUUAUUGGUGUUGGAUGGGCUCGCGGCCUAUCAGCUUGUUGGUGAGGUAAUGGCUCACCAAGGCGACGACGGGUAGCCGGCCUGAGAGGGUGACCGGCCACACUGGGACUGAGACACGGCCCAGACUCCUACGGGAGGCAGCAGUGGGGAAUAUUGCACAAUGGGCGCAAGCCUGAUGCAGCGACGCCGCGUGAGGGAUGACGGCCUUCGGGUUGUAAACCUCUUUCAGUAGGGAAGAAGCGAGAGUGACGGUACCUGCAGAAGAAGCGCCGGCUAACUACGUG
rnacentral:rRNA from 1 species